UACGUAGGGUGCAAGCGUUGUCCGGAAUCAUUGGGCGUAAAGCGCGCGUAGGUGGUCAUGUAAGUCCGCUGUGAAAGUCAAAGGCUCAACCUUUGAAAGCCGGUGGAUACUGCAUGACUAGAGUACGGAAGAGGCGAGUGGAAUUCCUGGUGUAGCGGUGGAAUGCGCAGAUAUCAGGAGGAACACCAAUAGCGAAGGCAGCUCGCUGGGACGUACUGACACUGAGGCGCGAAAGCGUGGGGAGCGAAACAGG
rnacentral:rRNA from 1 species